UACGUAGGGACCGAGCGUUGUCCGGAAUUAUUGGGCGUAAAGAGCUUGUAGGCGGUUUGUCGCGUCUGCUGUGAAAAUCCGGGGCUCAACCCCGGACUUGCAGUGGGUACGGGCAGACUAGAGUGUGGUAGGGGAGACUGGAAUUCCUGGUGUAGCGGUGGAAUGCGCAGAUAUCAGGAGGAACACCGAUGGCGAAGGCAGGUCUCUGGGCCACUACUGACGCUGAGAAGCGAAAGCAUGGGGAGCGAACAGG
rnacentral:rRNA from 1 species